UCACCUUGGAAAUCAAGAGCGGGUGGGACCUGUGGAUUUAAGAGUAGGCGACCCACUCUUGGUUUCACAGGCCA